rnacentral:rRNA from 1 species
GAUGAACGCUAGCUACAGGCUUAACACAUGCAAGUCGAGGGGAAACGGCAUUUAGUGCUUGCACUGAAUGGACGUCGACCGGCGCACGGGUGAGUAACGCGUAUCCAACCUACCCAUUACUGUGGGAUAACCUGCCGAAAGGCAGACUAAUACCGCAUAGUCUUCGAUGACGGCAUCAGAUUUGAAGUAAAGAUUUAUCGGUAAUGGAUGGGGAUGCGUCUGAUUAGCUUGUUGGCGGGGUAACGGCCCACCAAGGCGACGAUCAGUAGGGGUUCUGAGAGGAAGGUCCCCCACAUUGGAACUGAGACACGGUCCAAACUCCUACGGGAGGCAGCAGUGAGGAAUAUUGGUCAAUGGGCGCGAGCCUGAACCAGCCAAGUAGCGUGCAGGAUGACGGCCCUAUGGGUUGUAAACUGCUUUUGUAUGGGGAUAAAGUCAAUCACGUGUGAUUGUUUGCAGGUACCAUACGAAUAAGGACCGGCUAAUUCCGUGCCAGCAGCCGCGGUAAUACGGAAGGUCCGGGCGUUAUCCGGAUUUAUUGGGUUUAAAGGGAGCGUAGGCUGGAGAUUAAGUGUGUUGUGAAAUGUAGACGCUCAACGUCUGAAUUGCAGCGCAUACUGGUUUCCUUGAGUACGCACAACGUUGGCGGAAUUCGUCGUGUAGCGGUGAAAUGCUUAGAUAUGACGAAGAACUCCGAUUGCGAAGGCAGCUGACGGGAGCGCAACUGACGCUUAAGCUCGAAGGUGCGGGUAUCGAACAGG